rnacentral:rRNA from 1 species
UACAGAGGUCUCAAGCGUUGUUCGGAUUCAUUGGGCGUAAAGGGUGCGUAGGCGGCGCGGUAAGUCGGGGGUGAAAUCUCGGAGCUUAACUCCGAAACUGCAUUCGAUACUGCCGUGCUUGAGGACUGGAGAGGAGACUGGAAUUUACGGUGUAGCGGUGAAAUGCGUAGAUAUCGUAAGGAAGACCAGUGGCGAAGGCGGGUCUCUGGACAGUUCCUGACGCUGAGGCACGAAGGUCAGGGGGAGCAAACGGGG